UGCUUGGGACUAACAUUACUAUCAAAGUUCUCUGUGAUUUGAUGGCUGCCUCAAAGAACUCCCCAUAUUCUGGAUAUAUAGCAGUUUCCAAUUUGAUGCUGGCAACCUUUGGUUUGAAAUGUUUGGAUGCAAGCUACAAGAAAUUCCUGGAAGAUAUGACCAAUGUCUCUUGGGAUGGGCCUGCUGCAGGAGGAGAAAGGCAGUGGAUAUAUCAGACUUGUACAGAGUUUGGAUUCUACCAGAGCACAGAUUCACCUAAUCAGCCUUUUACAGGUUUUCCACUGAAGUAUCACCUGCAGCAGUC